GACGAACGCUGGCGGCGUGCCUAAUACAUGCAAGUUGGGCGCUGAAGGUUGGUACUUGUCCCGACUGGAUGAGCAGCGAACGGGUGAGUAACGCGUGGGGAAUCUGCCUUUGAGCGGGGGACAACAUUUGGAAACGAAUGCUAAUACCGCAUAAAAACUUUAAACACAAGUUUUAAGUUUGAAAGAUGCAAUUGCAUCACUCAAAGAUGAUCCCGCGUUGUAUUAGCUAGUUGGUGAGGUAAAGGCUCACCAAGGCGAUGAUACAUAGCCGACCUGAGAGGGUGAACGGCCACAAUUGGACUUGGACCCGGCCCAAACCCCUUAGGGAGGCAGCAGUAGGGAAUCUUCGGCAAUGGACGAAAGUCUGACCGAGCAACGCCGCGUGAGUGAAGAAGGUUCUCGGAUCGUAAAACUCUGUUGGUAGAGAAGAACGUUGGGGAGAGUGGAAAGCUCAUCAAGUGACGGUAACUACCCAGAAAGGGACGGCUAACUACGUG
rnacentral:rRNA from 1 species